rnacentral:rRNA from 1 species
UACGUAGGGGGCAAGCGUUGUCCGGAAUCAUUGGGCGUAAAGCGCGUGUAGGCGGUUCGAUAAGUCUGCUGUGAAAGUCCAGGGCUCAACCCUGGAAAGCCGGUGGAUACUGUCAGACUAGAGUGCGGAAGAGGCGAGUGGAAUUCCCGGUGUAGCGGUGAAAUGCGCAGAUAUCGGGAGGAACACCAAUUGCGAAGGCAGCUCGCUGGGACGUUACUGACGCUGAGACGCGAAAGCGUGGGGAGCAAACAGG